rnacentral:rRNA from 1 species
CUGCGAAUGGCUCAUUAAAACAGUUAUAGUUUCUUCGAUUAGUAAGUACAAGGAUAGCUUCGUGAAUGAUAAAGAUAAUACUUGAGACGAUCUUGGAUGUAGAGAUACAUUCAGGCCUUUGCAUCAUUUAAUGGUGUGAAGAGAAAGGAUAUCCAAAGUGAAAGUGGGUAUCAUGACAAUUGUAGAAUAGCAAUAUUUGACAAGUAAUCGAUGAGAAUAUCUGAUCUAUCAACUAGUUGGUAGUAUCGAGGACUACCAAGGUUAUAACGGAUAACGAGGAAUUAGGGUUUGACAUCGGAGAGGGAGCUUUCAAGAUGGCUACCACUUCCAAGGAAGGCAGCAGGCGCGUAAAUUACCCAAUUUCAACAGAUAGAAGAGGUAGUGACGACAAAUAACUCACGACAUGCGUAAGCAUGUCUUGAAGGAAUGAGUAAGAAGCAAAGAGUCUUACGAAAUCAAUUGGAGGGCAAGUCUGGUGCCAGCAGCCGCGGUAAUUCCAGCUCCAAUAGUGUAUAUUAAAGUUGUUGUGAUUAAAACGCUCGUAGUUGAAAAUGAUAUAUAUCCAUCGUUCAAGACAUGAGUAUGACUUGAUUGUAUGAAUGUGUUGAACAACAUAAAUGGAUAUAGUAAGGAAUGAUGCGACAUGAAUGUGUUGUGUUGUUAAUUACUUUGAAAAAAUUAGAGUGCUUAAAGCGAAUCUAUUAAAGAAUAGUGAAGCAUGGGACAAUCAAGCGAAUAGGAGAUCUACGGAUUUCGUAUUAGGAAGAAAGAUUAAGAGGAAUAAUUGGGGUAAUUCAGAAAAUAACGGGAGAGGUGAAAAUUCAUGAUCGUUAUAAGAUGAACUAGGGCGAAAGCAUUUUACUCAAUUAUGUUCAUUAAUCAAGAACGAAAGUUAGGGGAUCAAAGACGAUCAGAUACCGUC